rnacentral:lncRNA from 9 species
GGCGCCUCGUCGUACGCAGUUGACGUAAGGAGCUCGGCGCCCGGGCUUUUUGCGAAAUUGUAAUAGGAUUUGGGUGUUCACAAACCUCGUCCUCGGAGCCUAGUGCGAGUCAGAACCGCUAGCUGUUUGCUUCCUAGGGCGCAAGGACUGCAGCUGAUACCUUCAGCCGUUCGCAUUAUUAACAUGGUAGGUCAGCUCUAACCUUGAGAGAGUGAGUCAGAGCUGUGGCAUGAUUGCCGCUGAACCUUGGGCAAGUUACUUAACUUUUCUCAUUAAGUUAUUUAUUGGGGUAAAUAUUUUUUGAGGCGCAGUGUGGGCACGUAAUAACCGAAAUGAAGAAAACGGAGAACUUUAGGGAUCGACAGAGCUAAGUUGGUUCUACUUGUUUUUUCUGGAUCCAAUCAAAAAUUCAGACAAUAAUAAUGCCCCACAUCUAUGUAUUUAAUAAAUGUUCCAACCCCUUCCAUAUAUAUUAUAGAAUUUGUGCCUGUAAUUGGGAUGGUAUUAGUUUACUUAUAAUUAAACAAGAUGUUCUGAAUGGUCUACAAGCAUUAGCUAGGUUCUGGAGAUAAUCUAGUUAAAUGGAGUUUAAAUUCAGGGAGUGAGACACUAAUACCUACAUAAAUUGGAUGGUGGAGAUAGGAAGCAAAAGCAGGGGAUCAAACUGCAUCCUCAUGGAUACCAGUCAGGCUCACGAUCCACUGAGCCACAAUGGGAACUCCCCCUGUUCACUCUUAUAUAUCUCAAUGUACAGUUCUCAAACACUAGACUUAUUUCUUACAUAACUUCAAUGCUAUUUUCACACUUGACAAAAUUAACUAGGCCCUGUUAUUAUCUAGUACUUAGUCCAGAGUCGAAUUUCUCUGAUUGUCCAAAAGACAUUGGAAUACGUACAACUCAGAAUAUAUACAAAAUCUACACACGAAAUGUGCUUGUAUGAUAUUUAAGUCUCGAAUAGCCAGCCUAGGGUGUGCCCCUGCCUUCUUCACUUUUCCCUGACAUGACUGGUUGCAAAAACUGGGUCGGUUGUCUUGUAAAAUGCCCUACUUUGUGGCUGUGUCUGCUACCUUUGGUGUCAUUUAACUUGUUCCUCUCUCUUCUGUAUCUUGUAAAUUGAGGUUGGCUCUAGAGGCUGGUUUAUACUCAGAUGCACUUUCCUAGGAAGUGAUGUGUGUUGGCAUCACACUAGGAGACCCAGAAUAGCUCAUUGUCCCAAGUUUAGUGAUCAGUGGGCUCAGGUGGUGACAGCCUGUCUCUGCAAUUGUAUAGUUCCACAUUUAACUAUUAUUUAAUAGUUUCAUCCAUAUUCAUUUCUUUAUUUUCUAUUGUGUUCAUUUUCUAUUAGUUCAUUAGGGCUGCAAAAUGGUUAUUUUAUUAGCUAGAAUUCUUUCCCUUGUGAACUAUUCAAUUUGGUUACCCUGAUAAACAUUUUUGCUACCAGUUUUACUGAGGUACAGUUGGCAUACAUCACUGUAUAAGUUUAAGGUAUACAGCGAGCAUAACGAUUUGACUUAUAGAAAGUUCCCAUAGUGGUCAGUGGAAACAAACCCGACUAGUAUCUGUGAGGACGUGGGUUCUAUCCCUGGCUUCACUCAGUGGGUUAAGGAUCCAGCAUUGUUGUGAGCUGUGGUGUCGGUUGCAGAUGUGGCUCAGACCCCUUGUUGCUGUGGCUGUGGUGUGGGCUGGCAGCUGCAGCUCCGAUUCAACUCAGCCUGGGAACUUCCAUAUGCCUCGGGUGCAGCCCUAAUAAGAAAAAUAAAAUAAUAAUAAUGAUUUGACUUACAUACAUCAUGAAAUGAGUACCACAAUAAAUUUAGUGAACAUCCAUCAUCUCAUAUAGAUACAAGGUUAAAGAAAUAGAAUUUCUUUCCCUUUUGAUAAGAAUGCUUAGGAUUUGCUCUCUUAACAUUUGUAUAUAACAUACAGCAGUGAUGGAGUUCCCACUGUGAUGCAGUGGGUGUAGAAUCUGACUGCAGCAGCUUGGGUCCCUGCAAAGGUGCGGGUUCAAUCCCCUGCCCAGCACAGUGGGUUAAAGGAUCCAGCCAGCUCAGAUUCAGUCCCUGGGUGAGGAACUUCCAUAUGCUGUGGGUGCAGCCAUCAAACACAUACACACACACACACACACACACACACACACACAUACACACAUACAAACACACAAGACACACAGCAGUGUUAAUUAUAUUAUCAUUUUGUGUAUUACAUCCCUAGUACUUAUUUGUCUUAUAGCUGGAAGUUUGUAUCUUUU